GCAGGGUCUGCAGAUGGCGUCCAAGUGUACAGUGGCCAGUGUGAUUCCGCAGUCUUGGGCUGUUCGGCCAAGCGCCCACCGGACGUGGGACGCUGGAGGGUCAGCAGCGUGGAGUCCUGGCCUUCAGCGUCCGCGGCUGGGAAAUCGGCCAUCGCCACGGCGGGAACUAGGACUGGCUGCGUCCCGGCCCUUCCCCAUCCGUCCACCGGACUCGUGGGCGCCCGCACUGGCUCUGAUGUAGUUUCCUGACCUCUGACACGUAUUGUCUCAAGAUUAAAGGAAUCAGGAGCUUCUUUUGCUGUUCUUCUGUUUUGGAUGCAUUGGAAGGUCCAGAUUUGGAACAAGUCUCUCUAGAGAUUGAACAGAACUGUGCCUGGAUCCCGCCGCAGUGAGGAGACCUGAAGACCAGAGGAA
rnacentral:lncRNA from 1 species